rnacentral:rRNA from 1 species
UACGGGGGGUGCAAGCGUUGUUCGGAAUUACUGGGCGUAAAGGGCUCGUAGGUGGCCAACUAAGUCAGACGUGAAAUCCCUCAGCUUAACUGGGGAACUGCGUCUGAUACUGGAUGGCUUGAGAUUGGGAGAGGGAUGCGGAAUUCCAGGUGUAGCGGUGAAAUGCGUAGAUAUCGGGAGGAACACCUGAGGCGAAGGCGGGCUACUGGGCCGAUACUGACGCUGAGGCGCGAAAGCCAGGGGAGCAAACGGG